rnacentral:lncRNA from 1 species
UCACCGGCAGCUGUUCUCCCCAUCCGUGUGCAGGGACGUCUCGGCCCGUCGAAGACCCAGGCGGGCAAAGGAGUGGUACAAGAUGAGAAAACUGAGCUCAGAGAGGCAAAGCGAUAUGUACAGACUCACACCAUUGUAAGAUUUGAAGCCCAAAUGCAUGACUCCAAAAUCCAAGCCCUUUCUACUGUAUCACUCCAGGACUGAGGCAACUGAGUAAACUGGGAAGCCCCCUGAUCCCAGGUUUGGGCACCAUGUGAUAAGAUGACCUGCAGGUCUGGCCUUGGAUUUCUGCAGAGGUUUGUUGGGAAGGCAUCACUUAGGAGGCUGGCAGACCAUGAGAAAG